UACGUAGGGGGCAAGCGUUGUCCGGAUUUAUUGGGCGUAAAGAGCGUGUAGGCGGCCAAGCAGGUCCGCUGUGAAAACUCGAGGCUCAACCUCGAGACGUCGGUGGAAACCGUUUGGCUAGAGUCCGGAAGAGGAGAGUGGAAUUCCCGGUGUAGCGGUGAAAUGCGCAGAUAUCGGGAGGAACACCUGUGGCGAAGGCGGCCCCCUGGUUGGAUACUGACGCUGAGACGCGAAAGCGUGGGGAGCAAACAGG
rnacentral:rRNA from 1 species